GACGAACGCUGGCGGCGUGCUUAACACAUGCAAGUCGAGCGGAGCUGCGAACGGGUGAGUAACGCGUGAGUAACUCCCCCCCUCUCUGGGAGAACAGUUGGAAACGGCUGCCAAUACCGGAUAGUGGGGGAUGACUCGCGUCCUAUCCGCUUGUUGGUGGGGUAGUGGCCAUCCAAGUCGACGCCGGUUAGCCGGCCUGGGAGGGCGACCAGCCUCAUUGGGCUGAGAUACGGCCCAGACUCCUACGUGAGGUAGCAGUGUGGAAGAUUGCACAAUGGGGGAAACCCUAAUGCAGAAACGCCGCGUGCGGGAUAACGGUCAUCGGGUUGUAAACCGCUUUUAGCCAUGACGCGGUAGUGGCAGAAGAAGCACCGGCUAACUACGUGCCAGCAGCCGCGGUAAUUC
rnacentral:rRNA from 1 species